UAAAAAUCUUCACUGCUUCAGUUACAAUGGCGCUAAAAUCAGAGAAUACAUCAACAACCAACAGUAACAAAAAGGAAACAAAUUCAACCCAGUAACCCAUAUGAAAUAAAAACUUCAAUUACAGUUGCAUUCAAGGAAGAGAAGAAAUCACCAUGGGAGAAAGGUGCGAGAAAGAUCUGAAGGCGUUAUAUUGGUUUUCCUAUCUUUCUGCGAAAGUCGUCAGAGCAACAGUUUAUUCGACUAUGGGAUUUCACUUUUUCAUGUUACAGUCUUGGAUGGAAACAAGUUAACAAAUGAAAGUGUCAUCAAUCAUUGAACAGGUCAUCAAUUGAAGGCUGUAAGAGCUGCGAGGAACAAGUUGCUGCUAAAGAUUUUAGCCCCCAAAAGAACUGUUUUGGUGGAUGCCGAUAGUAAAGGUAGAUGGUAUUCAGCAUUGACUUCGUGAAGAUGCAAUGUCACUGAAUCUAACAAGCCAUUUAGAUCAAGAAAUGAGCAGUAUUUGGCUGACUCACCAUCUGAGAAGUAUGAGUAUCAAGCAGAGUUCAGUCGUCUCAUGGGCCUCAUUGUUAACAGUUUGUACAACAAUAAGGAGGUUCUCUUAGGGAGCUUAUCAGGCAAGUAUUAGCUAACUUUAUCCUUAAUGUUCGUAUGCCCUGCACUUUUACAUUCCAUCAGUGACUACCUUUGCAAAAGGAAAAAGAUGAAAACAAACUCUUGCCAUAUGAUUGAGAGGAGACGGGGAACAAGGGACAUCUUUGCUGUCUUGGUCACUUAAUCUCUUACUCUUUGAUACAACUUAAGUCAUCCUUUUAUUUUCUGUUUCCUUUUUACAGGUUUAGGCCGAAUGAUCGGUAUAGUCAUUUCGACUCUUUGAAAUUUCUUCGAUUUCGCCGGUUUGUCAGAUUUGUGUUGAUAUCUUUACGGUUUUUUCUUCUUUAGUCACUUUGUGCUUAGUGUACAUACAAGGAAAAAUAGAUACUUGGUAAAAUUGUGUCCAAGCCCCUUUGACAGUGAGAAGUUCACAAUGACUUUAGUUUCGGAGACUCAAAGAUUAAAGAGAUAAUAUACAUAAGGAGAAAAAUGGAAAGUCAAUUAUGUUCUCUCUUUUAUUUGAGUAUGUAUAAUUAUAUGAUCUGGACAUUAGAUGACAUGGCACGAUUCAGAUGGCUAAUUAAUCCACAUAUGAAACGUCUGCAGACACGCGCCUCAUGUUUCCCCAAGCCGGUGUGAGAAGUGUCAUAUUGUGGACC